rnacentral:lncRNA from 1 species
AUCAACGCACGGUCAGAUGCACACGGUCGGGACCAGCGGGGGUGGUGGCGGCCGUAUACACUCCGAUGGUCAAGUCAGGUUCAGGUGGUCAGAACAGUACCCAGAGGUUGUGUCAAAAACACUAAGGGGGAGGAGAAAAUAUAUAAAUUUGCUAUGGAGUGCUAUGUAGUAAGAGUUUCAUUACCUUUACCUCUUGUCAAACCUUGGGUAUUUAUAGGUGGGAUGAACCGUUGGAUGUGGGACACGUGUAUACAUCUGACGGUAUGAGGCGUCCGCUCAUAGGCGUCAAUCAGCCGCGUCUGUAGAGUGGGCGGGCAAUUUGUUUCUCCCGAGUUGAGUUGACAUAAAGUUGAUAAGUCACAUCAACUAGCCUCAUGGAGACGUCAAAUCAAUUUAAACCUUAGGUGCAGAGAGGAU